CCGUGAGAAAAAUCCUGUCUUCGCCGAUCAAGUUUGCGACGUGGGAUGCAUGAAUCUUAUCAAUCACCACUGGACCAGGAUUUGCAAGAACAAGCUGCAGGGCAAUUUGGAGAUGCAAAGAUUACACCAAAGAAGGCUCCCAUGCAAGCCACAAAAUCAAAUUUAUCAAUCUUCCAUAUAAGGAUUGCUGCUUGGAAGUCGAUUAGGUUGAUCACAGCAGAUAUAAUGAUGGCAGCGAGAAUGGCAUUUGGGGUGUACUUAAAAAGAGGUGUAAUGAAUUGCAAGGUCAGGAAAACAACACAGGACAUCACAAUAUUAGAGACUGCAGUUUGGCAGCCUGCCAUGUAGUUCACUGCCGAGCGAGAGAAUGAACCUGCAAGUACGAGCAAUUAAUCAGUUCCAUGUCCUUAGUCACAUGUCCCGCUAGGUACUACGUUCCAAGGUUUCAGGAAACAGCAAAAUAAAUCAUGUGCAGACAGAUAAGAACAUACUCCUAUUUUUAAACAAAAUGAUGGAGCAAAAGUGUGAAGGGCUGAAAUAAACCACUAGGAGCAGUUUCUAGUUGCAUGCAGAAGGUAUUUUUUUGACACCCUCUACCUUCAACGUUUUAAAGAUGGUGAUUAAUCAACUAGUUCAUGGGAAUAU